GCCGCGUGCAGGAAGACGGUCCUAUGGAUUGUAAACUGCUUUUGUACGGGAAGAAUAAGGGCUACGUGUAGCCUGUUGACGGUACCGUAAGAAUAAGGAUCGGCUAACUCCGUGCCAGCAGCCGCGGUAAUACGGAGGAUCCGAGCGUUAUCCGGAAUCAUUGGGUUUAAAGGGUCCGUAGGCGGGCCAUUAAGUCAGGGGUGAAAGUCUGCGGCUCAACCGUAGAAUUGCCCUUGAUACUGGUGGUCUUGAGUUAUGGUGAAGUGGCCGGAAUAUGUAGUGUAGCGGUGAAAUGCAUAGAUAUUACAUAGAACACCGAUUGCGAAGGCAGGUCACUAACCAUAUACUGACGCUGAUGGACGAAAGCGUGGGGAGCGAACAGGAUUAGAUACCCUGGUAGUCCACGCCGUAAACGAUGGAUACUAGCUGUCCGGGCGCAAGCCUGGGCGGCCAAGCGAAAGUGAUAAGUAUCCCACCUGGGGAGUACGUCCGCAAGGAUGAAACUCAAAGGAAUUGACGGGGGCCCGCACAAGCGGUGGAGCAUGUGGUUUAAUUCGAUGAUACGCGAGGAACCUUACCAGGGCUUAAAUGUGGUCUGACAGCUUUAGAGAUAGAGUUUCCUUCGGGCAGAUCACAAGGUGCUGCAUGGUUGUCGUCAGCUCGUGCCGUGAGGUGUCAGGUUAAGUCCUAUAACGAGCGCAACCCCUGCCGUUAGUUGCCAGCAUGUAAUGAUGGGGACUCUAACGGGACUGCCGGUGCAAACCGCGAGGAA
rnacentral:rRNA from 1 species